rnacentral:lncRNA from 1 species
UUUUUUUUUUUUUUGCCACAGGAACCUGGAGAAUGAAGAAAACAGAUUAAAAGUGAAAGACCAAAACAGAUUUAAAAUUAAAGAAGUCAGAGGAAGUCAGUUUAAACAUGAAACUAAAAACACUGCAAAAGUGUCACAUUUUUCUUUCAUUUUCAGACACACAGAAAAUUGCUAAAAAAAAUCAGUUAAACAAAUGAAGCAUAUCUACAUUUGCAUUUUCUGUACAGAGAGAUUUUAUCUGACUAAAACUCAAAUCCUACUAAGUUUUUAUUGUCUUUUUAGCCAGGAUAGAUUAGAAAUCACUUUCAAAGGGCUUCUUUAAAGCUUCUUAUUGCUCUGAGGUGUCACAAUAAGGACCUUAAGCCCAAAAGAAUUCCCUUUCUGUGGUGACAGGAAAGCAUGAUAAUAUUUGGUCUAGCUUCAUGAAUGACAGAGGAGAUGGCAACCAAGGCCCACUGCUGAAUAAGUCAAUAUUCACACCCAAGAGUUUGCUUUAUUUUUCAAGGAGGGCUUAGGGAGCUUGCAGGUGCAUUUGCUUCCCAAAGAUAGUGUUUAGAUUAAAUCAGUGUAGGAGAAUAAAGGUGUUUCUACUUGACAAUGAGCAUAGCCAGGUGCAACUAAAUUCUGGCCCAAGGUUAGAAUAGAUUUUGAUGUUCACAUUAUUUGUCCACUUAAUAUCUUUUUUUUUUCCGCUGCCUUUCAUACCAAAAUUAAUAGAAAAAAAAUCAGCUUGACUUUAGCCUUCAAAAUGGGCGAGGACCAGGCUCUUAAAGCAACCUGCUCUAGGAGCAGGCUGGUUUGUGUACAUUGGGUGAUGCAAAAAGCCAGGAUGGAGGAGGAACAUGGUUUGGUUACUGACAGCUGCUGUCCAGAUGAUGUAAAUCAGUAGUAGCCAGUGACAGGCAGAAACUAUAGAAGACACCAAUGAUAAUUCUUUGGGGAGCUCCAGAGAUAAAUAAUUCAUCAAAAUGAAUUUUAUAGCAGGGGUCAAAAGAAAUUGAAGACAGCCUGAGUAUUAACACUCUGAGGGAGAAAUUGAGAGAUUGUUUUUGUACAAACUAUGCAGAGGGGAAAUACAGGCAAAUUAAAUGUAAAUGGAGAAUACAGUAUUGUUCCUACUACCUGGAACCAAAACAAGAGAGAUAUAAGAAAGUAAAAAAAGUAAGUGUCUUAUUAAGGAAGUCAAUAACUGAAACUGGUGGUGGAUAACAGUUCCAGAGAGAUGCUGGGUAACAGCAAAGGAGAGUGAGUUGUCACAGGUCCAUACAGUCAAACAAUUUAAUAUAUAAUCACAUUAUAAGAAUGUCUUCUUAGUAAUCAGCUCAGUCACUUGCCUACAGUUAGGAGUCGAUUCAUCUCCAAAAUAUUUCAUGUGUCUGAGUCAGGACAUGUCUGUCUGGGAGGGAAGGACAGAAAUGCCAAUAUGGGACACUGUUCUGGCUCCCACAGGUGCUAGGCACUAACCCAUAGGGUGGCUAAAACCAUUCCCCGCUGACUGGGCUAAGUCACCCUGCAUCACCUGGGGCCUCUCUGCAGCUGCAUCUCAGAGGCUGCUGUUCCAGGAGGAGGAAAGCCAUCAUGCCCAUGCAGCUCAGAGUUCCCAAAGGAAAAACAGUGGUCCUUCAUCUAAGCAAAUGUAAUGUCUGUUUCUCUGUGACUGCUUUUAAAAGAAUUUCUUGGUGAAGCUCUUUUUGAGCUUGCCUAGCACAAGGUGACUGUUUUUCCACAUACCAGGUUAUAAUUCUGCAACUAUAUGUGUUUGGGUUUUCUGUUUGCCUUACUUUGUGAACUCUGACUAGUCAAAUAAUUUCAUCCAGACCAAACUUGGUAUUUGAAUAAACACGGACUUAGGAAUGAGUUGUUAUAAGACUGUGAAAAUGGCAUGUUGCUUAUGUACAGUACAAAAUUUUCCACCCACUCUUACGCUUUCAAAAAUGGUCUCUAAUUUUGUGUAUCCAAAUUUAGUCUCCCAGAGGCUGUCUUUCAGAGGUCUUGCCUGUCCCCAAGUUUGAGUUUGUACACUCCACAGUCCCCAGAAUAGCUUCUCUAGGCGAAUCUGCUUCAUUGCAGCCCAUGUUUUGUGCUAUUCUGGAUUCAUUUUUUUUGUUGUUGUCUGAGAACUGCUGUCUGCAACAUAUAGAAUGUUAUCCACAAUGUAAGUUUUGUGUUCCCUAAAUCUGUGAAACUUUAUUUUCUGGAAACUUUAAUAUUGUUUUAGAUCAAAGUUUUCCUUCCUAUCCAGACCCAGAAAAACAAAACCAAAAACCUUUUCUUUUACUUCAUAAUCACAUGUAGAUUGCAACUAUGAGAGUAAAAGGAGAGAGGCUUUAACUACUUCAAUUAUUUAGCUGAGUAACUCAGACAAAAUCUCCUUUCAGCAAAAUGGGGGAGGAGAAUCAGAAAAUAAACCACUUAAAAUGUUACUUUUUUGCAUGCUAACUUUGUCAAAGGCAGGGAGUUUGCUGCUUUCUCUUUUCCCCCUUGUGUACUUACACCUUUUCACAGGGAGGCAUUUCUCUUUUCUGAUCUGAUAACAAGUUAAAAUAUGAUUCUUAUGUGCAGAGAUUUUGCUGUGAUUUAGGCAAAAAGGGUGUGCAUGUGGGAAAGUACCAGUUUCCAAAAAUAAACAGAAGAAUACUGUGGUGAAUUGUGCUGAUCACAGGAUUAAUGCUCUGUCUUAUUACUGGAUUCAUGCUGGGUUCAGGUAGCAUUAAAAGAGGUUGAAAAACCACAAGGGACUCUGUAGGGCUUUUUUUCCUCUUUAAGACGAAAAAGCCUGCCUCUCCUGUCAGUUAUAUGCAAUUUCCAGAGCCAGAUGAGAAGCAAUGACGUGAAGUAUAAAUGCCUGCAGCACAUGAUAGGACCAGCCUGUGGCUAAAAGCUGUGUCCAAGCUGUUUCUACCAUGAGAGCAAGCAGGCCACUGUUUUUACUCUGAAUUUUUCAAGAUCACUGCAUUUAAUCCACUAUGUAAAGUAAGCAUCACUUCCCUGGCAAUAUAGCCUAGAAAAUAAAGAAGGAGAAAAGCUGCUGCACCAUUUUAAUACUUCAGAAAAUAAGAAGUAGCUGAGGCCUGUGUAAUGUCAGCUGCUGAAGAAGAGGAGCAUGUUUUCUUGAUGAGCAAGUAGCAGAGUGCAUAUACAAAUUUGCUUGCUGGAAACCUACUUGUGAGCUUUUCUCAAGGCUUUUUGUGCAAUAAACCCAGCACUGAUUGACAAUUUUGCAGGUGUAUAUGCAGACAAAGAAUAGAAACUUUCGGCCCUUAUAGCACAAGGGAGCACAGUGCCAGCUUUUACUCAUCAGCGAUGCCCAGUGGUGCCUGCUGCCGUCUGCCCCGUUAAUUCACACUCCCUUUGGAGAGCAAGGGAUGAGGGUUAGUGCAGUCCUGGUGCAACACAGGGUGCUGGCAGAAUCCAGGGUCAAGGUCCCCCCUAGCUGCUCCAUUCCAUCAGACUGACCACAACCUACACUUCUCUCCUGCUCCUCAGCUCGGCCAGGGAGCCCUCAGGCAAGCAGGCGCUGAAUCAUUGCUUGCAAAUAACUCAAACCAAAACAAGCAGAAAUAAGCCAGGAGCAUGAGUUGGAGGAGAAAAUGGGCCAGCCUCAGUGUGAGACCCUCUAAAGUGAGAAAUGGCAGGCAGAAAGAUGCCCCUUGUUAUCAGUGUGAGGCAGGUGUCCUCCAACCAGGACCUCCCAACCCAUGCUGGGAAUCCUGGAGGACACGGACUAUGCCCAGUCCACAGUAAAAAUUCCCAAAUGCUUACAAUGCAAGCAAAGCUUUCCCAGCAGCCACAAAGGAUUCCUUGCUGGACCACGGCUCUUGCUGACAGGAAGAAUUCCACUACGAAAUGAUAAUAGGGUAAACAAGGAUUUUUCUCAUUUUCCCUCUCCAUACCUGGAUACUCUCUCCUUUCCUUUACUUGUAGGGGGAAAAUAAAAUGCUGCUCUUCUUUUUUCAGGGCCAGACACAUGGGUAUGUACUGGCACUUCCUAGGUGCAGCAUAGGAUUAAUCUUACAUUUCUACGUAAGUCUCCCUUGCUCUCAGCUCUCUGACUUUCGGUGUCAAGUGCAGCAGGUCCCAGUGUCCUCAUCAAAGCUACAGUGGCACUACCCCACAGAAGCCUUUGAGGUGCCUGAGCCCCAGCUCGAGAGCCUGUCACAAACCUGAUACUCCCCAUGGAUAAAUCCCUCACGGCACUCUGCUCCUGCUGCUGGGGUAGUAAAACAAAGGGAUGGCACAAAUCCUUUCCCUCUGUGUGGUUUAAAUAAGCUGUUCAUUUGCUGGUGUCAUCUGGAAAUUACUGGAGGGCAAUUUUCCUAGUCAAAUUCUCCAGAGACAGAUAUUUGUUCACUAAGUUGGUGCUAAAUAGGGGUGUUCAUUUUGAUUUUUCUGCACUGAGACCACAGCAGCCAAUCUGCAGUGUUAAGUGCUUCAAUCAUUUUUAUGGGUGUGGCUUUUCUCCACACAUUUGUCAAGUUUUUUUUAAAAAAUAAUUUCUGUUAUUUCCUCUGAAAACCAGGAGUAACCUGUAGCAAAUUUUUACAGUUAGACCUCGCUCCAAGAAUGGGAUAUCUGCUCACUAGGAUAUGAAUACAUUGGCAACGUGACAUGCUGAUAUGUAUAAUGAUGCAAUCUCAUGAAUUGCUCUCCAUAAAGCUUGUCUAACCUUGUACUUUCCAUAUUGAUCCUGGGAGUGACAAAUUCCAUCUGAGGAAGGCAGCACUUUGAGAUAUUAAAGUGUAAUUUAUGGAUUCAUUUACUGGGGUUCCAGAAUUGGUUUCCUUAAAUGCUGUGGUGAUAUCUGAUGAAAGUCCCCUGUGAUUUGGAACAAUAUAAUAAAUUAUCAUCAGUUCCUAGUUCCAUUUGUAAUCAUUUACUGAAAGCAGAAUGUCCUUUGUUAAGUGGGCCCUUUCACUCUCUGGAUUAAUUAAGUGCAACUAUAUUUAAAUUUUGUUUCUAAUUGGAAUGAAAUUAAAAUAAUAAAAAUAACAGAGUCUUCAGGAUUGCUAGUUCUAAUUAAUAAGGUAACCACUCUUGCUGGAAUACAUUUUUGAUGAUGCAUUAGUAACUCCCAGUUUGUAUUACGUAUUUAUCUAAGACAAUACAUUACAUUUCAAAUGUUUAACAGAAGACUCCUUUAAGGAAGGCUCUAAUAAAGUGCUCUAAUAGAUAUUGAGUAAUUUUAACUGUACUGCUGAUUAUCUCAGUACCUUCUGCUGCUCCUGAAGGCUGUUACAAUAAAAAUCCACAUUUCAAUGUGGUGCAACAUUUUAUCUGGAAUGGUGUUCUUGGAUUGCCUUGAAGAAACUGGGUUCUUGAAGUGCCAUGCAGAGUGCUAGAACACUGGCUUUUGUGGCAUGCAUACACACACACAUCCUCAAUAGCAUAAUUUCAUUACAUUUUUCUUCCCUUCAAGGCUGGUUUGAUAUGUACUUGAGAGGCUUUGCAUGUCAUUCUGCAAAGCAAUCGAUUCGGGUUUAGAGUUUGGACUAUGUUUCAGAGCAAUAAAAGCAUUACUCUUGUGUCUUAUAUUGAACUGUUUUUAAGCAUUUAUCUGUUAAAUCAGACUUCUCCACAGAUAUUAUGCUCAGCAUGUGCUUGUUUUCAAUGUGAAAAGAAAGUGCUUCAUGUGAAGCUUUAAAUGGGUAACAUCCAAUUAGUCUUACCUAGUUCUUCAUCUCUACAGUACUGCCACCAGCACUGGAGUCAUGGUGUUCACUGCCCCAGGGUGACAGACAGCACAGGAGCUUGCACAGGCUCCACUUGCUCCACUUGCACCUCUCUAAGCCCAAGCAUUUCCCUUCAGCUUCCCUGAGUCCUUCCAAACCCAGCUGGGUGACCUGGUUGCAGGUCACUGCCUUAUCUAAUGUAAAUGUAAAAUGUAAAACAACAGCAGAAGUAAUGAUCCUUUGGACAUAGCAGUAGUCAGUGAAUAUAAUCCUCACUUAGGAGAGGAUAAGGAAAGGGAAAGCAACAUUAUGGAAGAUGUUAACCACUUUUUAAAGAUACUAUGAUGGUAAGGCUAGUACAAGAAAUUAUGUGGAAUAUAAUUCUUUAACGGCAAGAAGCAAUUUGAGAGACCCUUCUAUCAUUCUGAUAUCUUGUUUCUCCUUGCUAUAAAAUGUAAAAUGCAGCACAAUUAUUUCCAUGACUUGUACAGUCUUUAUAGCUACCCUCUUGCAACCUGUCUUUACAUUUUUGCAUAAAUGUUUUAAAAUAUUAGACAGCCAGCACCAAUAAAACAAUAACCCCCUCUGAUUUAUUGACACAUAUAGAAGUAUAGAAUUUUUAUGCCAGAAUAUAUCUGACAAAGUUGUUUUUCACCUAACUUAGGCCUUCUUAUAGGUGGUUACACUGUAAACCAGUAUAUCCAAUGUCAGUAGCAAUGAGGCAAUUGCACACAGCAUAUUUUGGUUUUUAUAUUCCUUAAUUGCAGAAGUAAAGAAAAUUCUCUCACCCUUUGAGCACUGCAAUCAUUUCAGCAGCUGAGCCGGAUCUUUUGAGGGUGGUGAGAGCAAUAAAACAUUGUUGUGAUUUGCUCUUAACAGCUCAGAUCAAGGUCCCAGUCAGCCUCCUGGCACAGAUCUGCUGGAAUGGAUUUCAUCAUCUAGGGGCUGUUCACACUGUGUUUUGUAAUUAAGCAUUUAGUGACUGUAAUUCUGAGAGUCCUGUAUAUAAUUUUAUAUGCAUUGCUAUAAUACUUGCCAUGCUGGUUUGGCAUCACUUGUGGUGCCUCUUGCAGGCUCUGAUUUGCCCGUGUGUUGUACAGGGAGCAACCUGUCUGGAUAGAUUCUGACAACAGCCAUGUCUGUGCAAAAGUUUAAUGUAGAAGUGCCAAAAUUCACUCUAUGUGUCAUAAUCUUUCAAACUUUCAGGAGAAAAUAGCCUUCUAGGACUUUCUUGUCAUGUGCCUUUGGACUGGAUAAGUGCUCUCCAGUGCUGUGACUCUCGAGAGAUGCUUUCUUGUAGGGAAGUCCUGAUGUCUCCAAGCUGUCUACUUUAGGCCUAGGUAAUUUUAUCAUGAGUCUUCAAGAAAUUAUAGAAGAAUGACAAUAAUUUGUGUUGGAUGGACCUUGGGAGACUGUCUGCGCCAAUCCCUUGCUCAGACCUAGUUUAACUUAGAUCACAUUGCUCAUUUAUUUUAUUGGAUUUUUAAUAUCUUCAAGGAUGGAAGCUCUACAGCCCCUCUGGAUGUACUGGAUGAGUGUAGUUCAUCCUGUGGUGAUUUUGUUCCCCCCUAAUGUCUAGUUAGAAUUUCUUUUGUUGCAACUCAUAUCCACUGUUUGGACAAACAUGCUGGAUGUAAGACUUCCACACAAUGUGACACCAGGCUCCAUCAGCUGCUUCUGUACUGGUGGAGUUGGAAGUUCUUGCACAGUAGGGUUACUUGUCUCAGUCCAGUAAUGUCACCUGUGUCACAGAGCUGCCAAGGUCAUUUGAACAGCUUGUCAAAUUUCUAGCAGAGUGAAUGAAGAGGAUAAGGGCUGAAAGGACAGAUAAAACCAUCCUCUUUGUGCCCAAUGACCUCUUUUCAGAAGGGCUAACAGGAUACUUGCCAGCAGCCACUGGUGCUUUGCUGAUCCAAGUCUGCCCCAAGUUUCAUGUCUUGCUAAGGAGAGGGUGCCUUUUGCCAGGGCAGUCAUUGCAGCACUUCCCGUGAGCACCAGAAGAAAACUCUCUGCACUCAUCAAGCUCCAGUGACUGCUGCCAAACUGGUGCUCCAUGACAUGGCUCAUUCUCCCAGCCCAUCUGUCUCUUGCAUCAGGCCCAGUGCUAGUCCUAGACUAGCACCACCUUGGCCAUCCACUCCCCAUCCACUCCCAUCCCAUCACACACCUCUGUGCUGGGAAGGGAAUGCUGCAGUUGCAGC